rnacentral:rRNA from 1 species
GACGAACGCUGGCGGCGUGCUUAACACAUGCAAGUCGAACGGAAAGGCCCUGCUUUUGUGGGGUGCUCGAGUGGCGAACGGGUGAGUAACACGUGAGUAACCUGCCCUUGACUUUGGGAUAACUUCAGGAAACUGGGGCUAAUACCGGAUAGGAGCUCCUGCUGCAUGUUGGGGGUUGGAAAGUUUCGGCGGUUGGGGAUGGCCUCGCGGCUUAUCGGCUGGUUGGGGGGGUAGUGGCUUACCAAGGCUUUGACGGGUAGCCGGCCUGGCAGGGUGACCGGCACAAUUGGACUGAGGUACGGGCCAGAGUGCAACCGGGGGCAAGGGGGGGGAAAUUUGGCAAACGGGGGGGAGGCUGAGUCCGGAACCCCGGGUGCGGGAAGACGGGCUUUGGGGUUGUAACCGCUUUCGCCUGUGAAGGAGAGGUAGUGACGGUAAUGGGGAAAAAAGCAACGGCUAACUAAGUG